AAAUCUGGUGCUCCGGAUCUAGGAAGACGAGGAUGGAGGGUUUGUGUUGCCAGCCUGUAUCACCACCCUCAUGCUGAUAACAGAAAGGGUGACCUCCUUCCCCUCCCCCUUCCCCCACCGCCAGGUCUCUGCCGACGUCCUAGCACUGCACCUUGCUUUCUCUCCUUGGCACAUCCCAGUGUCUAGAAGACAAUCCGUCUUGUUUCAGAUUCUGUCCCUGAAUAAUUUUGUUUUCAGUUUUCCUUUCAGGAGUGUUUGUCAGGGACGAUGCCUACCCCACACAGGGUGGACAGGGAGGAGUGUCAGGUGUCACUGGGUCUGCAUUUGGGGAUGUGAUCUUGAAUGAAUCACCUGUCUAACUCCUCUCAACCUCAGACCCCUCAACUACAGGAUGAGGCUGAGAAUCCCUGUCCUGCUUACCUCUCAGGAUUGUUUUAAAGGUAAAAUGAAACACUAGAUGGAAAAGCACCAUGCAAGCUGCAAGGCAAGUCAUACACACGGCAGGGAUCCAUAUGAUGCUUCGGCUGUGACCCCUUCUCCCCGCUGAUGGCAGGAUGCCCGCCCCUGCUUGUAGGGGAAUUCUGCUGGUCUGUUUUUCACAGACAGGCCAAACAGCCCUAGUGCUUGCCCUCUCUUUAUUUUCACUGAUAAGACUUCUAGCUCAUGGAGAGUAAACCAAAGGAGACUUCCUAAGGGAAAACAUCUCUCCUUGCGAGAUUCUGGGCUUAGAAUCUUUAGUGGAAGUUUCCAGUAAGUGACUGUGAGGGAAACAAGCCUCCUCUCUCUGUGGUUUGCAGAAUUCUGAUUCUUCUAAUGGCUACUCCUGAAUGUUUCCAUUUCCUUAAACGCUAACUCACUGUGCAGUUAAUUUCAACUGCCUACGCCACAUAACAACUAAAAAAACUACACUUGUGACAUUUAAAAGGCAUCAUGGUAAGUAAUGAUGAUUGCAACAGUUUAUUUCAUAAAUAUGUGUUUGAAUCCAUUACAUGAAUGAAAAUUUGCAUUGCUAUGUAAUUUGAAUUGUGCUGGGAUGCUGUGUUUAUUGAAUAAAAAAGGCUUCCAAAAACAGUAUGGACAGCCAAUUGUGACACCCACAAUAUUAGGGAGACUGUGAUAUAGGCGAAGUGCUUGUCCUCAGAGGGCUGAUAUUCUGGUAGGUGAGUCAGGCCUAAAUGCUCAAGUGAGGUGCUUGACUCCAGUGCAAAGCAUCCAUCAUUUUACCAAAGAGAAAGUCACACAUUUAACCAAACCCACCAUUGCAAGCCACACCAGCCUUGGAGUAGAGCCGGAAGCAAUGUAUGUUCCCAAAGCGUAUUACUCUGUGAUCCCCGUACCUGCAAUGUGAAGAAUUCUGCCCCCCCCUCAAAAUCCUUCUCCAACUCUUUCAGAGAUUUCCUGGGGCAGGGAGGGAUGUUCAUUGUACAUGUGUCCUCAGCCUCCUCCACUUCCUUUCCUGCCCUGACUCCUGGAGGGAGUUUUACAGGUUUUUGAGAAGCUGAUCAUCAUGGUCAGCAUGAUGGCCCAAACUGCUGGUCCCAAACACUGGUGACCCCACCUGGGUCUGCCCCAUUCUCAAUGUCCAGCAGGUAUUUCUGGGGCCUGGCUCCUCAGUGUCUGCUCUUGCACAUAAGGAGCACAGGAAUCAAAGAGCCCAGGGAUUAUCUGAGUGUCCAAUGCUGUGCCAUCCCAGAAUCCCCCUUUUAUCUGACACUGGCUCUCUCUCCUGGAGCCUUUCUUGGGGGUAUCAGCCCGCUAGUCCCCUCCAUGGAGUUCUUCCCAAGAUGCCUUAGCUGAUUAGAAAUCCUGGGAUGGAUGGGAAUCUUGGUUGGGCCCAGCUCAGGGUUCUAAACCAGGGCUCCAUCAACCUCAAGGGAGAUGUGUGGUCUGCCUGCAAUCUGGUUGCUGUCAUAGAGUUAAGAAUUUCCUGCAGAAGUAUUGAGAAUGACCACUUCCCCCUGAAAUCCAGGCUGUGUCUUAAUUCUGUUCUUCCUGCAUUUGGUUGUAUAGAUAAUUGGAUGCUGGAAUCAGAGAUUAAAGGAUCUGAUGUGGGGUGAAGGCCUCAGAAGGAGAUACUGCAGUGAAUGAAGAUGUGAUGCCUGGAGUGACUGCAGCCAUCCUGAUACCAUGAGGAGAGCCAACCCAGACACUAAGGAUGGCAGAAAGGAAAUAUGAAAGGAACGUGGGUCUUAGAAAAUGUCAUCGAACUGCUGAAAUAACCAACCCAGGACUGCCUGAACUCAAGGCUUGGGAUUUCAGCUAUCCUUCAGACACCAUCACCAACCCUGACGUUGCAAAAACAAUGAGUGCUCCCCACAAGAGCUGCCACGUGAGAGAAGCUUCUCCACCCCCUCUGUGUGUGACAACAGGUCACAAGCAGAUGGAAACCUGCCUUGCUUGGCCCAGUCUGGGGGAGCGGAAGGACUGACUGCUCCCAGCCUCGUUUGACAAUUACUGCCAAGGAGCCAAGGAUGUUCUGGCCACAAGAGUGUAAUUCAGAGUAAACAGCUGAGAACGUCAUUCAUUGUUAAGCCCUUUACCACUGCUCAUUUUCUCAAAAGAAAUUAUUCUGAUAAUAUUAA